UGGAUCGAUGAUGACCGCUGGUGGAGUAUACUGUUCUUGUAAUUUUGGAUUCAU
rnacentral:snoRNA from 1 species